CAGGGUUCUUGGUUUAGUCCCUUGCUCAAAGUCUCUUGCCUGCGACUGGCUGGACUCUCCUUGUGCCGAGCCAUCACUUCUGGGGAUCGCCUCUUCUCCGCCAGCCUCGCUCGAGCCUCUUUCGGCGACCGCCCCGGCCCUUGAGCGGGUCGUGGCUGCUCUGUCAAGAGGCCGCUUUAAUUUCUAGCUUCUCGCAAAACCCCCCGUGUUUGUUGGGGGAAGCUUUUUCCCCUCGAGUCCUAAUUCGCGCUUGUUCAUGGGUAUUGUGGCCGGUUAUCUGUGUACCACCUGUCACUAUUGCGAAAUCCUACUAUACCUAAUACUAAUUAUUGUCCAACGUUAUACGAAUUGGCCUGUACUAAACGGAAACAUUUCUGGCAAAAAAAACGGCAAUGCCGCAAACUCAGCGGGCCGUCUAAAGGGCCUGAGCAGGUAGCCGCCCCGGCGAAAUAAGGGUACGGUUGCGCUUGACUAUUGUUCAAUGGAAUGUUUCUACUUACAUUUGAUGGUUCAAUUGCUCGUAAUCCCUGGUCUGUACGUUGUAGGAACACUUUGCAAACAUCACUGCACUCCACGUUUCUUGCUCUAUCCGCACAUGGCACAGCACUUUCGUCUCUAUGGUCGUUAUUUGCGGACCGCACAAAAAGUCGACCGAUCGCUAUGGCUGCUCGGCGCGGAAUGGAUAAGUACCCCAGGAUAAGUAUUCAUUUACUAAAUGAUUAUUAUUAUUAUUGAUGUUGAUGGUAAUAUUGUUAUGAUUUCAUCAGAUCUUAGGGCACAAAAGGAACAAGUUGCCGUCUCAGAAUACUUGCAUGAACUGCACCUUUAUUGAAGUUAAAAACAAUACUACCAACCUAAGAAAACUAAAGUAAAAGGUUCUGCCUUCGGUUCAGCUUCAACUAAGCGACCAGGUGCCCAUUUCUCGAGCUCGAGAGAACGUGAAAGAUCCCAUCGCCGAUGUGAUCAUUCCCUUCCCCGCCCUUUCUACUAUGGUUCGAAAACCGUAUUCUCGAAUGCAUAGGAAGCGAUGUGAGAAGCGUUCACGGAAAGCGUUGUUGCCAACAACUUUAUCAGAGAAAUUCGACUCAAAUUUACGAUUAAGAGACAAAGAUUUAUCUAACGGCCAGAAAAUUGGCGGGGGUUUCAAAUAAAAUAUUAAAAAUGUUAUACCAGCUCAAGCUUAAAGCUGUUAUACCAGCUAAAUAGAUAUAAUAUAUAAAUAUGACGUAAAUAAAUCAGCGUAAACUUGUAAAA